CCUGAUCCAGCCAUGCCGCGUGUGUGAAGAAGGCCUUCGGGUUGUAAAGCACUUUUGUCCGGAAAGAAAAGCUUCCGGUUAAUACCCGGGGGUCCUGACGGUACCGGAAGAAUAAGCACCGGCUAACUUCGUGCCAGCAGCCGCGGUAAUACGAAGGGUGCAAGCGUUACUCGGAAUUACUGGGCGUAAAGCGUGCGUAGGUGGUUUGUUAAGUCUGAUGUGAAAGCCCUGGGCUCAACCUGGGAAUUGCAUUGGAUACUGGCGGGCUAGAGUGCGGUAGAGGAUGGUGGAAUUCCCGGUGUAGCAGUGAAAUGCGUAGAGAUCGGGAGGAACAUCUGUGGCGAAGGCGACCACCUGGACCAGCACUGACACUGAGGCACGAAAGCGUGGGGAGCAAACAGGAUUAGAUACCCUGGUAGUCCACGCCCUAAACGAUGCGAACUGGAUGUUGGGAGCAAUUAGGCUCUCAGUAUCGAAGCUAACGCGUUAAGUUCGCCGCCUGGGGAGUACGGUCGCAAGACUGAAACUC
rnacentral:rRNA from 1 species